AUUGAACGCUGGCGGCAGGCUUAACACAUGCAAGUCGAACGAGCGGCGGACGGGUGAGUAAUGUCUGGGAAACUGCCUGAUGGAGGGGGAUAACUACUGGACACGGUAGCUAAUACCGCAUACCAUCAGAUGUGCCCAGAUGGGAUUAGCUAGUGGGUGGGGUAAUGGCGUACCAAGGCGACGAUCCGUAACUGGUCUGAGAGGAUGACCAGCCACACUGGAACUGAGACACGGUCCAGACGCCUACGGGAGGCAGCAGUGGGGAAUAUUGCACAAUGGGCGAAAGCCUGAUGCAGCCAUGCCGCGUGUGUGAAGAAGGCCGUCGGGUUGUAAAGCACUUUAAGCGAGGAGGCGUUACUCGCAGAAGAAGCACCGGCUAACUCCGUGCCAGCAGCCGCGGUAAUAC
rnacentral:rRNA from 1 species